rnacentral:rRNA from 1 species
AUUGAACGCUGGCGGCAGGCCUAACACAUGCAAGUCGAGCGGAUGAAGGGAGCUUGCUCCUGGAUUCAGCGGCGGACGGGCGAGUAAUGCCUAGGAAUCUGCCUGGUAGGGGGGGAUAACGUCCGGAAACGGGCGCUAAUACCGCAUACGUCCUGAGGGAGAAAGUGGGGGAUCUUCGGACCUCACGCUAUCAGAUGAGCCGAGGUCGGAUUAGCUAGUUGGUGGGGUAAAGGCCUACCAAGGCGACGAUCCGUAACUGGUCUGAGAGGAUGAUCAGUCACACUGGAACUGAGACACGGUCCAGACUCCUACGGGAGGCAGCAGUGGGGAAUAUUGGACAAUGGGCGAAAGCCUGAUCCAGCCAUGCCGCGUGUGUGAAGAAGGUCUUCGGAUUGUAAAGCACUUUAAGUUGGGAGGAAGGGCAGUAAGUUAAUACCUUGCUGUUUUGACGGUACCAACAGAAUAAGCACCGGCUAACUUCGUG